AAGUCGUAACAAGGUUUCCGUAGGUGAACCUGCGGAAGGAUCAUUAUAAAUAAAGCCGGUAGGAGGUGGGGUCUUGAUCUGUAAGUGGUAGAGCGAACAGUCCGGCUGCCUCCCGAAAUGUCUUACAUGCCCCCACAGCUGAGCACGAAUACCAAUCCAUGACUUAUUCUACACUUGUUGCUUUGGGGUGCUCAAGUGCCCCAGAGGACCCAAAUCUCUUGCAUUUAGUGACGUCUGAGUACUAUAUAAUAUUUAAAA
rnacentral:misc_RNA from 1 species